GUUUGUUGAAGAAGCUGUAGAGAUCUGCUCCUCUGUCUGCAAAAGAAGACAAGUCUGCAAAUUAAGUCAGCAACUUGGAAGAAAGCUGCAUCUUCAUGGAUGAGAGAGCGUGGAAGCUCUUGGCUCUCGUGCGCGGCAGCAGAAUGAAGAUGUCACUUGUGACAAACUGGCUACUGUUGUGAGCACUCGGCCCAUCACUUACACUGUCAGUGUGUUUGUUUAUAUACAUCCAUGUUCUUGUGAACUCGGGAAUGCCUGGAAUCUGAGAUCUACAGCCACCCUGAGACUUCAGUCAUAAACCGUGAAGCCUCGAAGAGCGUGACUCCAUCCUAACAAUAAUCCUG
rnacentral:lncRNA from 1 species